UCAUACCUCAAGCUUCUGCUUGGUGUUGAGAUCUUUCGGCAAGAAAAUCUCAAAACUCUUUGGCACUUUUGUCUCUAAGGGUCCAACGUGACAGAAAUUUCUCGUUUGACAUUUCCUAUUGACAGAGUUUUGCCUGUUUACGAAU
rnacentral:misc_RNA from 1 species